rfam:Chlamydiae bacterium RIFCSPHIGHO2_12_FTLL_49_9 rifcsphigho2_12_scaffold_4120, whole genome shotgun sequence.
GUCAAUUACCCCUCCUUAAAGGGAGAUGCUUGAAAGGAGACUAACAAGUCCUGGUUGACCAGGCUAAGUCCUUGCAAAAGGACUACGUUAUAUAUAGGCCUAAGACCGACGGCAGGAUGCUUCCUCAGUUCUGCCCUCUCGAAGCUCUGGUUGCAGACAAGCGAAAGGGUAAGCACGAAACGGAUUAGAGCACGUGCCGGUAUAUAACAUUGCCGAGGGGAGAGAAC